rnacentral:rRNA from 1 species
AUUAGAUACCCUGGCUAGUCCUUGCCGUAAACUAUGCUAUACUUGGCGUAAUUGGAUUCAACCCCAAUUGUGCCGUAGCUAACGCGAUAAGUAUACCGCCUGAGGAGUACAGUCGCAAGGCUGAAACUCAAAAGAAUUGACGGGGACCCGCACAAGCAGUGGAGUAUGUGGUUUAAUUCGAUGCAACGCGAAAAACCUUACCCAGACUUGACAUACAGAGGACAGUCCUAGAAAUAGGAUCUUCCGCAAGGACCUUUGAACAGGUGCUGCAUGGCUGUCGUCAGCUCGUGCCGUGAGGUGUUGGGUUAAGUCCCGCAACGAGCGCAACCCUUAUCACUAGUUGCCAGCACGUAAUGGUGGGAACUCUAGUGAGACUGCCUGGGUUAACCAGGAGGAAGGUGAGGACGACGUCAAGUCCGCAUGGCCCUUAUGUCUGGGGCAACACACGUACUACAAUGGUCGAUACAGAAGGCAGCCAAACCGCGAGGUGGAGCAAAUCCCAAAAGUCGACCCCAGUUCAGAUUGUAGUCUGCAACUCGACUACAUGAAGAUGGAAUUGCUAGUAAUGGCAGGUCAGCACACUGCCGUGAAUACGUUCCCGGGUCUUGUACACACCGCCCGUCAAGUCAUGGAAGUUAGUUUUACCCGAAGUCGCUAACCUAACCGCGAGGAAGGAAGUGCCUAAGGUAAGGCUGAUGACUGGGGACUAAGUCGUAACAAGGUAUC